UAUGUAGGGUGCGAGCGUUAAUCGGAAUUACUGGGCGUAAAGCGUGCGCAGGCUGUUCUGUAAGUCAGAUGUGAAAUCCCCCGGGCUUAACCUGGGAACUGCACUUGAAACUACGAUGCUGGAGUAUGGCAGAGGGAGGUGGAAUUCCACGUGUAGCGGUGAAAUGCGUAGAGAUGUGGAGGAACACCGAUGGCGAAGGCAGCCUCCUGGGCCAAUACUGACGCUCAUGCACGAAAGCGUGGGGGAGCAAACAGG
rnacentral:rRNA from 1 species